rnacentral:lncRNA from 1 species
UUUUUUUCUAAAAAUAUGAGGAUGUUCUUGAGGUUGAGUAGGUCAUGGUGGUAUAUUCAAAUACCCCAUUUGAGCAAUGCAUGAGAAGUUAUUUCCUAGUUUUGUAUAUAUGUUUUCAAUAUCGUUUAUUCAGUUAUUUUGCAUAUAGGUGAGACCUAUCCUGAGGACGAGCACCAUCAAUCGAGGCUCGGGGGCUACGACCCUUCAACAUAUUAGUGAGUUGGCUUUUGGUUUUCCGUAUAUACCUAUAUACUUGAGAUUUUUCCUAGAAAAUGAAUUUGAAUGAUUAUACGUGUUGAAAGGCCAUGUAAAGUAUCUGCCUAUUUUAUUUAUGCAUUAGUAGUUGCAUAUAUUUAUGAUUGGUGCUGCGGACGCAUAGGUAAGUGCCAGGUAAGUUCAUAAAUUAAAUAUAUGAGGUUACUUCAGUUAUGCGAAAUAUGAUGUGAUAUAUUGAGAGCUCAUAAACCUGCACCCCGGUGUUAGUGCUCCCGCCUAGAGUUAGGGCACAGUCCUUCACGUGAUGUUCACCUCCCGCACCAUAUGCUUACCUUGGAUCCAAGUUAGGUGCACAGGCUUGUCGUAUAGACCACUAUAGGUGGUUCUGACUCGUAGGUGACCUGCGAUCAUUCGCACAAUCUUCAAGUGAUCG